ensembl:lncRNA
CGGGUGACUAGUUGUUGAUGCAAUGACACUGAUGGAAGAACUUUUAAAACAUAUUAGGCGUUCAAAUACACACAAGAGCAGAAAGAAAAUUCUGAAAUGGAUGCAGAAACGUGGUAUCCUGGCGACGACGAUGAAGUGCGCAAAAUGCAACCGUCACAUGCAUCUGGUGAAAUGCCAUGUCAAGGAUGGGCUGUGGUGGGUCUGUAAGCAUCAUAAAAGUUUCCCAAAGUAUGUACGUAAUGGCUCAAUAUUCACCAAGUCUCACAUCCCUCUGACAAAAUGGCUUGAGUUCAUGCACAGAUUUGCCCAAGGUCUGCAUUGCUGCUGUCAAGCGACAGAGGAAAAGAUGUAUGAGGAUUGGUGGUCGUCAUCAAGUUGUUGUUAUUGACGAGAGCAAAUUUGCCCACAAACGAAAGUACCAUCAUUGUCGAUGUGGCAACACUUGGCGCCGUGAACGGCAGUGGGUCUUUGGGAUGUUGGAGGUCGACAAGAAGUCCAGAAGACCCAUUCUGAGACUUGUCAGGGAUCGCAGAAGGAAGACACUUAUAGGUCAUAUUAGACGCCAUGUCAGACCCAGAACAUCCAUCCUCAGUGAUGAAUGGCGUGCCUACAAAGGGCAACUUGCCCAGUAUGGGUAUGAUCAUUAUUCGGUCUGCCAUAAAAACAACUUUGUGGACCGAGAGACUGGUGCUCAUACUCAGCAUAUUGAGCGUGCAUAGUAAAGCUACAAGCUGGAAGUAUGGCGUCACAGAGGGAAUCGUACUCCUGAAUCACUCAAGCUUCAUCUUAAGAUGAUAGAAUGGCACCACUGGUUGGGUGUACACCAUUACAAUGGCGUGUUGGGCAGACUUUUCCAUGAUUUUUUUUUUUUUU